CUGUUCAAUCCGGUGAGUCUUUCGAUUCAUCUUCGAUACCGUUUUUUCUUCUGUUCGCGAAUACAAUAGCAAAGCGAAUCGAAUUGUGAAUCUUCGAAACUUGGAACUGAGGAAUGGAACGACACGAAUCACGUUUGAUUGCAGAGCGUCACGGACCUUCGAAUCUUUGAACCGUGAUGAUUGAUGAAUGCAGAAAUUGAAGGGCGCAAAUGCAUUAUUGGAUUUGUUUUUUUCUUCUUGUUUAGACCAAGGUAUCGAACACCAUU
rnacentral:lncRNA from 1 species